rnacentral:rRNA from 1 species
UACGGGGGGGGGCAAGCGUUGUUCGGAAUUACUGGGCGUAAAGGGCUCGUAGGCGGCCAACUAAGUCGGAUGUGAAAUCCCCAGGCUUAACCUGGGAACUGCAUCCGAUACUGGAUGGCUUGAAUCCGGGAGAGGGAUGCAGAAUUCCAGGUGUAGCGGUGAAAUGCGUAGAUAUCUGGAGGAAUACCGGUGGCGAAGGCGGGUCUCUGGACAGUUCCUGACGCUGAGGCACGAAGGUCAGGGGAGCAAACGGG